rnacentral:rRNA from 1 species
GGGGAAUAUUGGACAAUGGGGGGAACCCUGAUCCAGCCAUGCCGCGUGUGUGAAGAAGGCCUUAUGGUUGUAAAGCACUUUAAGCGAGGAGGAGGCUACUUUGGUUAAUACCUAAAGAUAGUGGACGUUACUCGCAGAAUAAGCACCGGCUAACUCUGUGCCAGCAGCCGCGGUAAUACAGAGGGUGCGAGCGUUAAUCAGAUUUACUGGGCGUAAAGCGUACGUAGGCGGCUUUUUAAGUCGGAUGUGAAAUCCCUGAGCUUAACUUAGGAAUUGCAUUCGAUACUGGGAAGCUAGAGUAUGGGAGAGGAUGGUAGAAUUCCAGGUGUAGCGGUGAAAUGCGUAGAGAUCUGGAGGAAUACCGACGGCGAAGGCAGCCAUCUGGCCUAAUACUGACGCUGAGGCAUGAAAGCGUGGGGAGCAAAC